UCGGCUUCCGGUUCACGGCUCGCGGUCCUGUGAGGCGACCCGGAGGCA
rfam:Isoptericola dokdonensis DS-3, complete genome.